rnacentral:rRNA from 1 species
CCCGCUCAGAAACUCAAGGAAUUGACAGGGGCCCGCACAAGCGGUGGAGUAUGUGGUUUAAUUCGAUGCAACGCGAAGAACCUUACCUGGUCUUGACAUCCCGGAGACCCUUAGGAAACUAGGGGGUGCUUCCAUCUGGAAGAAUCUGGAGACAGGUGCUGCAUGGCUGUCGUCAGCUCGUGUCGUGAGAUGUUGGGUUAAGUCCCGCAACGAGCGCAACCCUUGCCUUUAGUUGCCAGCAGUUCGGCUGGGCACUCUAAAGGGACUGCCGGUGUUAAACCGGAGGAAGGUGGGGAUGACGUCAAGUCCUCAUGGCCUUUAUGACCAGGGCUACACACGUACUACAAUGGCCGAUACAAAGGGCAGCGACACUGCGAGGUGAAGCCAAUCCCGUAAAAUCGGUCUCAGUCCGGAUUGGAGUCUGCAACUCGACUCCAUGAAGUUGGAAUCGCUAGUAAUCGUGGAUCAGCAUGCCACGGUGAAUACGUUCCCGGGCCUU